rnacentral:rRNA from 1 species
UACGAACCGUGCAAACGUUGUUCGGAAUCACUGGGCUUAAAGGGCGCGUAGGCGGACGACCAAGUCAGGGGUGAAAUCUUUCGGCUCAACCGGAAAACAGCCUUUGAUACUGGACGUCUCGAGGGAGGUAGGGGCAUGUGGAACUUCCGGUGGAGCGGUGAAAUGCGUUGAUAUCGGAAGGAACGCCGGUGGCGAAAGCGACGUGCUGGACCUCUUCUGACGCUGAGGCGCGAAAGCUAGGGUAGCGAACGGG